CUCCCCCCACCUCGGCCUCCUACGUAGCUGGGACUACAGACACAUGCCACCAUGCCUAGUCUUUACAACAACCCUAGGAGGAAGAUACUUAUUCCCAUUUGGAUGGAGCACAGGGUAACUGAGGCUCAAACACAAAUGCCCCUGAGGAGCAAGAACUGUACCCACAGCACCCAGCACAAGGAUGGGUGGUCUCAGGAAAGGUCGGCCAGAUAGAAGGGCAGAUGAGAAAUAAAUGUACUGAGAGCUGUC